rnacentral:rRNA from 1 species
GCAAGUCGCGGGGUAACGAUGAACUUCGGUUCAGUCGACGACCGGCGCACGGGUGUGUAACGCGUACACGACCUACCUUACACUGAGGGAUAGCACUGGGAAACUGGGAUUCAUACCUCAUGGUAUUAGAUAAUUGCGAUUUUCUAAUUAAAGGUUUCGACUGGUGUAAGAUGGGUGUGCGUUAGAUUAGCUAGUUGGUAAGGUAAUGGCUUACCAAGGCGACGAUGUAUAGGCGACGUGAGAGCGUGAAC